ACAGCUUUUAGCUGGUUUUUUAUUUUGUAGUUACAUCUCACUGUGGCUGUGGGUGCAAGGUGAUUUUGCUGUCUGCUCUACUCUGCCUCUCUCAACCUCGGAGCUGCAUUGAAAAGGUUGGAUAAUCAUUUCAUCACUUACUACAUUUACUGCAGCAAGACCUGGGCUUCUCAGGAGGUACCGGCAGAAAAAUGAUACCACUUACUCCAAGCCAACUUUGCUAGCUCAGCAACACCGUGAAGGACAGUCCUGAAUUACCUCUCGCACCCCAGGAUCCAGCACGGACACGGGACUGCGCUGUGCUCUGGUGCUUGGGGCUCAGUUGCAAGCUGAUGGACCUGAAGUAACCCUAGUCCAACAGGGAAGUGGAUUCCAGAUUUGGGAUGAGAAGUGAGUAUGGCCCUUUGGACUGGACGUCUUCCAAGGUUUAUUUGUGCCCACUGACCUUAUGGCACUCUUCCUUCCAGCCCCUGCUGGGGUCCUCCUGUCUUUUUGCAUAAUCUCCUCUGAAUAAAUACGCUGUGAGUGGGGCCUUCUCCUUUGCAGCUUUUGUCCCGA